rnacentral:rRNA from 1 species
UCCAGACUCCUACGGGAGGCAGCAGUGGGGGAUAUUGCACAAUGGGGGAAACCCUGAUGCAGCGACGCCGCGUGUGGGAAGACGGUCUUCUGGAUUGUAAACCACUGUCCCCAGGGACGAAAAUGACGGUACCUGGGGAGGAAGCUCCGGCUAACUACGUGCCAGCAGCCGCGGUAAUACGUAGGGGGCAAGCGUUAUCCGGAUUUACUGGGUGUAAAGGGGGCGCAGACGGCAGCGCAAGCCAGGAGUGAAAGCCCGGGGCCCAACCCCGGGACUGCUCUUGGAACUGAGCAGCUAGAGUGCAGGAGAGGUAAGUGGAAUUCCUAGUGUAGCGGGGAAAUGCGUAGAUAUUAGGAGGAACACCAGUGGCGAAGGCGGCUUACUGGACUGUAACUGACGUUGAGGCUCGAAAGCGUGGGGAGCAAACAGGAUUAGAUACCCUUGUA